ACGGGAGGCAGCAGUGGGGGAUAUUGCACAAUGGGGGAAACCCUGAUGCAGCGACGCCGCGUGAGUGAUGAAGUAUUUCGGUAUGUAAAGCUCUAUCAGCAGGGAAGAAAAUGACGGUACCUGACUAAGAAGCACCGGCUAAAUACGUGCCAGCAGCCGCGGUAAUACGUAUGGUGCAAGCGUUAUCCGGAUUUACUGGGUGUAAAGGGAGCGUAGACGGCAUAGCAAGCCAGAUGUGAAAUGCGGGGGCUCAACCCCUGAACUGCAUUUGGAACUGUUAAGCUAGAGUAUCGGAGAGGUAAGUGGAAUUCCUAGUGUAGCGGUGAAAUGCGUAGAUAUUAGGAGGAACACCAGUGGCGAAGGCGGCCUGCUGGACUGUUACUGACGCUGAGGCACGAAAGCGUGGGGAGCAAACAGGAUUAGAUACCCUGGUA
rnacentral:rRNA from 1 species